rnacentral:rRNA from 1 species
GACGAACGCUGGCGGCGUGCCUAAUACAUGCAAGUCGAACGCAGUGGGGACGGGUGAGUAACACGUGGCUAACCUCCCAUCAGAGGGGAUAACACUUGGAAACAUGUGCUAAACCAAUAUUGAUGGUUGAACCCGCGGUGCAUUAGCUAGUUGGUGAGGUAACGGCUCACCAAGGCCACGAUGCAUAGCCGGCCUGAGGGGGUGACCGGCCAAACGGGGACGGAGAAACGGCCCAGACUCCUACGGGAGGCAGCAGUGGGGAAUGUUCGGCAAGGGACGAAAGUCUGACCGAGCAACGCCGCGUGAGUGAAGAAGGUUUGCGGAUCGUAAAACUCUGUUGUUAGAGAAGCGGUAGCUAACCAGAAAGCCACGGCUAACUACGUGCCAGCAGCCGCGGUAAUAC